rnacentral:rRNA from 1 species
GACGUAGGGGACGAGCGUUGUCCGGAUUCAUUGGGCGUAAAGGGCUCGUAGGCGGUCUGUUGCGUCGGGAGUGAAAACUUACAGCUUAACUGUGAGCGUGCUUCCGAUACGGGCAGACUUGAGGUAUUCAGGGGAGAACGGAAUUCCUGGUGUAGCGGUGAAAUGCGCAGAUAUCAGGAGGAACACCGGUGGCGAAGGCGGUUCUCUGGGAAUAUCCUGACGCUGAGGAGCGAAAGUGUGGGGAGCGAACAGG